GCUACCUUAGCUCAGUUAGUAGAGCGUCAGAUUACAAAUCCGGAGGUCGUGGGUUCAACUCCCGUCGAUUUUU
rnacentral:tRNA from 1 species